rnacentral:rRNA from 1 species
UACGAAGGGGGCUAGGCGUUGCUCGGAAUUACUGGGCGUAAAGGGCGCGUAGGCGGAUAUCUAAGUUGGGGGUGAAAUCCCGGGGCUCAACCUCGGAAUUGCCUUCAAAACUGGAUAUCUUGAGUUCGGGAGAGGUGAGUGGAACUCCGAGUGUAGAGGUGAAAUUCGUAGAUAUUCGGAAGAACACCAGUGGCGAAGGCGGUUCGUCUGGGCCUUACCGUGACGCUGAGAGCGGAAAGCGAUGGGGAGCCGUA